UACGAAGGGGGCUAGCGUUGCUCGGAAUCACUGGGCGUAAAGGGUGCGUAGGCGGGUUUUUAAGUCAGGGGUGAAAUCCUGGAGCUCAACUCCAGAACUGCCUUUGAUACUGAAGAUCUUGAGUCCGGGAGAGGUGAGUGGAACUCCUGGUGUAGCGGUGAAAUGCGCAGAUAUCAGGAGGAACACCAAUGGCGAAGGCAGCUCGCUGGAACGGUACUGACGCUGAGGCGCGAAAGCGUGGGGAGCGAACAGG
rnacentral:rRNA from 1 species